AGGACGAACGCUGGCGGCGUGCUUAACACAUGCAAGUCACGGGGGCCCGCAAGGGUAACCGGCGAACGGGUGCGUAACACGUAAGCGACCUGCCGAUCUGCGGGGGAUAGCCGGCCCAACGGCCGGGUAAUACCGCAUACGCUCACUGGGCUUCAUGGCCUGGUAAGGAAACCUCGGGGCGGAUCGAGGGGCUUGCGGCCUAUCAGCUAGUUGGUGAGGUAACGGCUCACCAAGGCGGUGACGGGUAGCUGGUCUGAGAGGAUGGCCAGCCACAUUGGGACUGAGAGACGGCCCAGACUCCUACGGGAGGCAGCAGUGGGGAAUCUUGCGCAAUGGGCGAAAGCCUGACGCAGCGACGCCGCGUGGGGGAUGACGCAUUCGUGUGUAAACCCUGUUGCCGGGACGAAUCGCCUGUUGGACAGGCUUGCGGUACCGGUGAGGAGCACCGGCAACUCUGUGCCAGCAGCCGC
rnacentral:rRNA from 1 species